UUGGACCUGAUAUCAGACAAGACUACCCGCUGAACUUAAGCAUAUUAAUAAGCGGAGGAAAAGAAACUAACCAGGAUUCCCCUAGUAACGGCGAGUGAAGCGGGAAGAGCUCAAGCUUAAAAUCUCCAUGCAAGUUUUGCAUGGCGAAUUGUAGUCUAUAGAGGCGCUGUCAGUGCAGCUAUUUGGGAUAAGUUCCUUGGAAGAGGACAGCAUCGAGGGUGAUACUCCCGUUUGUGCCUGAGUAGCUUGUGCGUACGACACGUUUUCUUUGAGUCGCGUUGUUUGGGACUGCAGCGCAAAGUAGGUGGUAAAUUCCAUCUAAAGCUAAAUAUUGGUGCGAGACCGAUAGCGAACAAGUACCGUGAGGGAAAGAUGAAAAGAACUUUGAAAAGAGAGUUAAAGAGUACCUGAAACUGCUGAAAGGGAAGCGAAUCGUAUCCAGUGUCUAUAAUCUGUGGCAUAUUUCAUUGGCGAGUAGGUGCGUGCAGUAUGUAGGAAGYGGGUUUCUGCUCCUUGUGCUGUUGUGCGUUUGCUUGUUGGUGCCCUGUGUUGCGGUGGGACGUCAGAGUCAGUUCGUAUGCUGUGAGAAAUGGCUACUGAGGAGGUAGGCUAGGAGCUUGCUCUUGGCUGUUAUAUCUUGGUAGUUAGUUGUCGUGGUUGGGACUGAGGUGCCUACAACGUGCUUUAAAGUCUUUGGGGACUCUCGUUUGGUUACCUGUUUGGAUAGCUUGCUAUGCUGACGGUGUGAUUGUGCGAUUGAGGUCUUGGGUAACUUUUGCCGUUCGGGACUUUGACGAAAUGGAGCGAUUCGGCCCGUCUUGAAACACGGACCAAGGAGUCUAACAUGUGUGCAAGUGUUAGGGUGUGGAAACCCGAGCGCGAAAUGAAAGUAAAGGAUGGCGUACGCUGUCUGAGGUAGGAAACCUUUCUUMUGGGAGGUGGCACUAUCGACCGAUCAUGAACCCUCGUGGUGAAAGAUUUGAGUUUGAGCACAUAUGUUGGUACCCGAAAGAUGGUGAACUAUGCCUGAGUAGGGUGAAGCCAGGGGAAACUCUGGUGGAAGCUCGUAGCGAUUCUGACGUGCAAAUCGAUCGUCAAACUUGGGUAUAGGGGCGAAAGACUAAUCGAACCAUCUAGUAGCUGGUUCCCUCCGAAAUUUCCCUCAGGAUAGCAGCAACUUAUUUACGAUAGUUUUAUGAGGUAAAGCGAAUGAUUAGAGGUCUGGGGGAAGAAACUUCCUUCGCCUAUUCUCAAACUUUAAAUCUGUAAGACCUGCAGGUUUCUUAAUUGAACUUGUGGAUGUGAAUAUCAAGUUGCUAGUGGGCCAUACCGGGUAAGCUGGUCUGGCGAUGCGGGAUGAUCCGAACGCAAAGUUAAAGUGCCAAAAUACCCGCUCACCUAGAUACCAUAAAAGGUGUUGGUUCAUUUAGACAGCAGGACGGUGGCCAUGGAAGUCGGAAUCCGCUAAGGAGUGUGUAACAAC
rnacentral:rRNA from 1 species